rnacentral:rRNA from 1 species
UACGUAGGGUGCGAGCGUUGUCCGGAAUUACUGGGCGUAAAGAGCUCGUAGGUGGUUUGUCACGUUGUUCGUGAAAACUCACAGCUCAACUGUGGGCGUGCGGGCGAUACGGGCAGACUGGAGUACUGCAGGGGAGACUGGAAUUCCUGGUGUAGCGGUGGAAUGCGCAGAUAUCAGGAGGAACACCGGUGGCGAAGGCGGGUCUCUGGGCCGGCACUGACGCUGAGGAGCGAAAGCGUGGGGAGCGAACAGG